CGAGAUCAUGCCAUUGCACUCUAGCCUGGGCAACAAGAGUGAAACUCCGUCUCAAAAAAAAAAAAAAAAAAAAAAAGUGGAAUUUUAGAGAGUUAGAUCAGGUAAGGGACAGCAGAAACCAAGUUUUCAGGAACAGUCAUGAGGGUCUGAGUGGCAUAUGCUCCUUUUCUACACAUCUGUGUUCUAGAGUCUAAAAUAGAAACGAGGCUGGCUAGGGAGCCAGCAGCCUGACUCCAGAGGGCCUUGCUUGUAUGCUGGGCCAAGAACUGGGUUUUGACUCCAAGCAACCAGGAACCGCUGAAAGAUAUUAAGGAGUGGAGGGAUGGUGGGUGACGAAGAAAUUUAUGUGAGAAUGACCGCCCAAUGGCAUUUGAAAGAUGGAUUUGAAUGGGCUGAGACUGGGUGCAGGAGACCAGGUGUGAAGCUCUUCUGGCAAUGAUGCUGAUAAGAGAUCAUGGGGAUCAGAAGAAAGAGACAUGUGAGAAAUAUUUAGGAGGUAAAAUUUGCAAGGCUGGGUGAUUAUGUGUGGGAGGAGAAAGGGAGGGAAGAGUCACAGCUAGCACUGGUAAGAGCUUAGGUGACUGGCUGGGUCACUGGGCUGCAGCCGGCCAGGCUUGGGGUGGGGAGGUAGUGGGGUCAGGAGUCACAGCCAAGCCCUGGUGUAUUGUGCCCUGGUGGGAUACCCCAGUGGAGAUGGCCAGCUGGGAGCUGAUUCUCAAGUUCAGGAGAAAGUCUUGCCUGGAUCCCAAUUUGGUAGCCAUCAGUAUAUUGGUAGGUAUUUAAAACAAGGGAAUGUGAGGACCAAGGGAGAACAUACAGAUUAGCAAGAAAAGGAAACCCAAGUCCACGCCUUAGGGGCCACCAUAUUUAUGGGCAGGUAAUAACUGCAGUGACUAAUGUGUAAUAAGUGCUUACUGCACGGUACAUGGACUCGCUUUAAUCCUCAGCCACACCAGGGAUGAGCACUAUUACUAUCCUCAAUUUCAUUGAGGAAGCAGGCGCAGAAAGGCCAAGUUCCUGCUGCCAGGUGGUCAGGAGGAAUCGGAGAGUCUGGCUCCAGAACUGAAGCCCUUAGCUGCUGUGCUGUUCUGCCUGAGAAGGAAACGAAGAAGAGAGAGAAUACGGAGAACCAGGAGAGCACCUCAGAAGCCGGAGGAAGUGCUGUUUCAAGGAAGGAGUCAUCCAUGGUAUCAGGAGCUGAGCAGCCCACUGAGAAGGCUGGGAAAACUGUGCUGUGGACUUGGUGGAGGGAGGCCUCCUUGGAGCAGGUGGCGGCACUGGAGCAGCUCGAGUAAGAAACGAGAUUGGAAGACUUGGAAUUGAAGCACAGGUAAGGGAGUGACACCUCGAAAAGGAGGAAAGAACACAUUGUUCUCUGGGACUGGACCGAGGGAGAUGAGAAUAGACUCUGAUCUAUACAUGUUGAUAGGUUGCCUGGGAAGCCGAGGAGGCUUAGGGACACAAUUUGCAUAGUAGAAUAGGAGGUAAAAUGGUUUCCUGAGAAUGAAGGAGAGGGGCUUGGGUUUGGGGCUUGAAUUGAGUCAUGAAGAUACAGGCAGGCUAUGGAGGGGCCAGGCAGGGAGAGGGACCCAGAGGAGAGCCAUCCCCUGUGAGGGCGGGAGCACAGCACCACCUCCUGCAACGUAGCUUCUGUCCCACUAUUCAGAGUGUCCCGGAUUUUGAGUGUGUUUCCCAUUCAUUGUAGAGAUGGGUUUCUUCAAGAUGGGCUAGGUCUACCAAGCAGUAUUUUUGCCUGUAAGCUAUGAAGUUCUUUUUGCCUAUGAUAAAAAUAGUGGGAUCUAAGCACAGAAUCCUCGUCUGGGAGCUAAAAGAUAUGCUGCAUGUAUCCCUACUUUCUUAAUCUUAUAUUUCUCAAAUAUGUACAUAUGGAAAAAUAAAGAUUGAGAUUAA